rnacentral:rRNA from 1 species
GGUAACUACGUGCGAUCAGCGGGGGUAAGACGUAGGUGGCAAGCGUUGUCCGGAUUGAUUGGGCGGAAAGCGAGCGCAGGCGGUGAAUUAAGUAAGAUGUGAAAGCCCCGAGCUUAACUUGUGAAUUGCAUCUGAAACUGGUUGGCUAGAGUCUUGUAGAGGGGGGUAGAAUUCCAUGUGUAGCGGUGAAAUGCGUAGAGAUGUGGAGGAAUACCGGUGGCGAAGGCGGCCCCCUGGACAAAGACUGACGCUCAGAUGCGAAAGCGUGGGGAGCAAACAGGAUUAGAUACCCGAGUAGUC